rnacentral:misc_RNA from 1 species
GGUGUCCAGCCUCGUAAUAAAUUCUCGAUACCAGAAUUAAGUACCUAUACUUAUUGCACUCUCAAACUGGUCGACAAUCGAAAGUCUUAGUUCCCUACAUAUAUCAACUUAUAGCACUCUCAAACUGAUCGACAAACACAGAAAAAGUCUUAAGGAAAAUCAUGCAUCCCGACCCUAGUUAGGCAAAUUACUGGCAGCUGCCUCCAUCACCCCACUGC